AGUGAACGCUGGCGGCGUGCUUAACACAUGCAAGUCGAACGGUAAGGCCCUUCGGGGUACACGAGUGGCGAACGGGUGAGUAACACGUGGGUGAUCUGCCCUGCACUUCGGGAUAAGCCUGGGAAACUGGGUCUAAUACCGGAUAGGACCACUGCCUGCAUGGGUGGUGGUGGAAAGCUUUUGCGGUGUGGGGUGGGCCCGCGGCCUAUCAGCUUGUUGGUGGGGUGAUGGGCUACCAAGGCGACGACGGGUAGCCGGCCUGAGAGGGUGACCGGCCACACUGGGACUGAGAUACGGCCCAGACUCCUACGGGAGGCAGCAGUGGGGAAUAUUGCACAAUGGGCGCAAGCCUGAUGCAGCGACGCCGCGUGAGGGAUGACGGCCUUCGGGUUGUAAACCUCUUUCAGCACCGACGAAGCGCAAGUGACGGUAGGUGCAGAAGAAGGACCGGCCAACUACGUGCCAGCCGCCGCCGUAA
rnacentral:rRNA from 1 species